rnacentral:rRNA from 1 species
UUGAACGCUGGCGGCAGGCCUAACACAUGCAAGUCGAGCGGAUGAAGGGAGCUUGCUCCUGGAUUCAGCGGCGGACGGGUGAGUAAUGCCUAGGAAUCUGCCUGGUAGUGGGGGAUAACGUCCGGAAACGGGCGCUAAUACCGCAUACGUCCUGAGGGAGAAAGUGGGGGAUCUUCGGACCUCACGCUAUCAGAUGAGCCUAGGUCGGAUUAGCUAGUUAGUGGGGUAAAGGCCUACCAAGGCGACGAUCCGUAACUGGUCUGAGAGGAUGAUCAGUCACACUGGAACUGAGACACGGUCCAGACUCCUACGGGAGGCAGCAGUGGGGAAUAUUGGACAAUGGGCGAAAGCCUGAUCCAGCCAUGCCGCGUGUGUGAAGAAGGUCUUCGGAUUGUAAAGCACUUUAAGUUGGGAGGAAGGGCAGUAAGUUAAUACCUUGCUGUUUUGACGUUACCAACAGAAUAAGCACCGGCUAACUUCGUG